rnacentral:rRNA from 1 species
UACGGGGGGGGGCAAGCGUUGUUCGGAAUUACUGGGCGUAAAGGGCUCGUAGGCGGCCAACUAAGUCGGACGUGAAAUCCCCAGGCUCAACCUGGGAACUGCGUCCGAUACUGGAUGGCUUGAAUUCGGGAGAGGGAUGCAGAAUUCCAGGUGUAGCGGUGAAAUGCGUAGAUAUCUGGAGGAAUACCGGUGGCGAAGGCGGCAUCCUGGACCGGCAUUGACGCUGAGUGAGCGAAAGCCAGGGGAGCAAACGGG